rnacentral:rRNA from 1 species
AGUCGAACGGCAGCGCGGGGCAACCUGGCGGCGAGUGGCGAACGGGUGAGUAAUAUAUCGGAACGUACCCAAGAGUGGGGGAUAACGUAGCGAAAGUUACGCUAAUACCGCAUACGAUCUAAGGAUGAAGGUGGGGGAUUCGCAAGAACCUCAUGCUCCUGGAGCGGCCGAUAUCUGAUUAGCUAGUUGGUGAGGUAAAGGCUCACCAAGGCGACGAUCAGUAGCUGGUCUGAGAGGACGACCAGCCACACUGGAACUGAGACACGGUCCAGACUCCUACGGGAGGCAGCAGUGGGGAAUUUUGGACAAUGGGCGCAAGCCUGAUCCAGCAAUGCCGCGUGAGUGAAGAAGGCCUUCGGGUUGUAAAGCUCUUUUGUCAGGGAAGAAACGGUGGAGGCUAAUAUCCUUUGCUAAUGACGGUACCUGAAGAAUAAGCACCGGCUAACUACGUGCCAGCAGCCGCGGUAAUACGUAGGGUGCAAGCGUUAAUCGGAAUUACUGGGCGUAAAGCGUGCGCAGGCGGUUUUGUAAGUCUGUCGUGAAAUCCCCGGGCUCAACCUGGGAAUUGCGAUGGAGACUGCAAGGCUAGAAUCUGGCAGAGGGGGGUAGAAUUCCACGUGUAGCAGUGAAAUGCGUAGAGAUGUGGAGGAACACCGAUGGCGAAGGCAGCCCCCUGGGUCAAGAUUGACGCUCAUGCACGAAAGCGUGGGGAGCAAACAGGAUUAGAUACCCUGGUAGUCCACGCCCUAAACGAUGUCUACUAGUUGUCGGGUCUUAAUUGACUUGGUAACGCAGCUAACGCGUGAAGUAGACCGCCUGGGGAGUACGGUCGCAAGAUUAAAACUCAAAGGAAUUGAC